ACAUAUACUUUUAAAUCUCAGGUAGUCAAUUGAAAUGUCCUAGUGUGUUCAGUAAAAGUGAGUUGGGGAUUUCUAUUGUGUGGCUGAGUUGUUGAGAGUUUUACACUAUGUUAACCACUGCACCUCAUUAAAUACCUACUAGCUGUUGCUUUUGAUGUUAAAAGAAUUCUGGAUUUUUACUUCCUGUGUAACAGUGCUUUUGAAUCCCUUUACUGACUCAGAUAGAAUUUCUGAAGUUCUACUGCAAAUGCCUUUUUAUUUACAAAUGUUUUGUACUUAAUCCCAUGUGAUCAAGUGUUGUCUUUACCCAUUAUAACAUCAACUUCUGAAUGCAAAAACUUUAAAUUUUAUCUUAGUAAAAUGCAAUGGUUGAGCCACUUUGUCAGUGAUUUCGAUAACCUUAUACUUACUUUGGCAUUACAAGAAUAAUACUUUUUUAGCAUUGCUAGCCUCUAGGGUGUGCUCUUGCAGUUGGUGCUGGAUAUUUAACACUGUAGUGCUACAUACAUAUGUAAUGUAAUGCUACACACACACCCACUGAGGGCAGCAGAAGAGCAAAGGCCUUGUGGGUUUGUAUCUCUAACCUGUUUGUUUUCUGUUUUCUCUGUAUUUGCCUAAAAUUUGGAUUUAAGACAGUUACUCAAGGCCAUUGGGUAUGAUUUUCAAGAUUUUCACAUCAUGAAAAUUUUAAAUGGCAACAUUGUUUUCCUGAUCCACCCCCAUAAAAAAAAAAAAGAAAAAUGUUCCUCAGGAAUGAAUGGAUGUUCCAAACUCCAGCCAGGGAAGCAGAUAGCUAACUGCAGCUCCUUACUGUUCCCUCAGCUGCUCCAAAUCCAGCCCCCCAAGUCUUAUUGCCAGGUCUGCAGCAGACCACCUGGUGUUGGCCUCCCUCUUCCAACUCCCUCUUCAGUGAAUCACACAGAUCUUCCCCACCCCACCCCCAUUCACUGCUUUAUCCCAGACCUCAACAUCAGCUGGUACUCCCUGGGUACCCACAGGCCAUAUAGACCAAGGAAGCAAGUAGGCUCACUGCAGUUCUUCACCUCUCACCCAGCUGCUCCAAGUUCAUUCCCUUGUCUCAUCCCUAGCUCUGAAGACCACUCUGUAUUCCCCAACCCUGACCCCUGCUGCACCUCCAUCCAAACACAGCCCUGCACAUACAUCUCCAGUGGAUCACCCAGAUAUUCCUUCCUCUUGUGUAUUGUUUUAAUCCCAGCUCCCAACCCCAACAGGCAUUUGCUGGGAACCCAGAGGCCACUACACCCAGAGAAGCAGGUGGGAUAACUAUAGAUCUUCACCUCUCCCUUCACCUACUAAGUGUAAUCCCCCAGUCUCAACUCUACCUCUAUAGCAGACCUCCUGCUGUUGCUUCACAUUUUUCUGUGCCCCCAUUUCCAAAGGAUCAUACAGAUCUUUCCCUCCGAACUUCCUUCACCCACCUCAUUGCUUCAUUCUAUUCCCUAACUCCAACAGACAUUCCCUGGGAACCUGAAGUCCAAUUUGGUGAGAAAAGUAGGUAGGCUAACUGCAGAUCUUCACCUCUCUUCUCAUUCCUCUAAGUCCAGUCACCCAUUCUCAUACCCAGCUCUGUAGCAGACUUUCUGUUGUGGCCUGUCCUUAUUCUCUGACCCCAUUCCCAGAUGACUGAGGAGAUUCUGGUGGAAUCCCUGCUUUCUGGGGCUCUCUGACCUCCUAGCACAGCCCCAUUCCUGAGUCACCAUUCAAUACCUAGAAACUCAUUUUAACAAGGAACCCCCAGUGGACACUCCUAUCCGGAUUCCAGAAGAAUCCCCUACCAAGCAGCACACAGCCACCUCACAAGAACCAGAGACCACAACAGAAACCAAGGAACAAAACACUCACCCAACAAAGACAAGAACAGAUGUUAGCACCUAGAAGUACAAUGUUCCCAAACACAGCUGCCUAGCUUCCAUUAUAAAAACACAUUGACAGUGACAGUAGAACCCAGCAACCCUUCUACAGCAGGCUCUGAGUAUUGCACCAUAGCCGAAGCACAGUAAAAAGACCCUAAAAUAGCUUUUAUGAAUAUGAUAGAGAAAUGGAAAAAUGCUUUAAAUAAAUCUUAUGAAAACACACAUUGGAAGGAAUAGAAUAAAACUGUUCAAAAACCUGAAAGUGGAAAUAAGAUCUCAAUAAAGAUCACCCAAACUGAGGGAAAUCUGUAGGUGAAAAAUAUAGGAACUGAAACAUGAGCCUCAAAGGAAAGUCUCAGCAACAGAAUACAGGAGAUGGAAGAGAGACUCUCAGGCCUCCAAGACACAAUAGAAGAAAUGGAUACCUUUGUCAAAGAAAAUGUUAAAUCUAAAACAUACCUGGC
rnacentral:lncRNA from 1 species